CUUAGAUAGCGCCAACAGGCUACCUACGUGCGCCACUGCCAUUGAUGCCCUCUUCGGUGCUCUCCAGCCUUCGUUCCCCCACCGACACCUACUGCCCGAGCCCCUCCUCCCGGUAGGUGAAGCCAAGCCACCUCACUGCUGCCGUGGGAUUCUUCGCCGUUGCGCUCCUUCUCCCUCUCCGGCCAAGCUCGUCCUACAGACCACCAGUAGCCACCUCUUCCACAGCUAGGCUCCUCAUCAAUCUGCCAUAGGCACCUCCAACCCUAAUUCCUCUUCCACCAUGGCAAUAUCAGCUCAUCUUCUUUGGUCUCCUAUCUGUCCAUAAUUUUGGUGGCUUCAAGCAAAACACCAAGGCAAAGUUUGGUUCUGCACAUCCACUGGGACCUCUCUUACUAGAACUUAAAGGACUGCUAUGACAUGGUAUGUUGUUCAUCAUGGUUGGCAAAGUGGAGUGUUCUCCAGUUGAGAGGAAUGUCAUGCACAAGUUAAUGGAUUCAAAGGAGUAUGUUACAAAGAAUACAAGUCCAAACAUGAAGCUAUUGUGGCAUACAACAGUCAAGCCAUCCAAGCCGAGCUAAAAUUGGCUAACUUCGAGAAUAAGAAGUGUGAUUUCACGUGUAAAGAUGUCAUAAUCCUAGUUCUGGUUAUAAUUAUCAUUAUUUUGCUAUGUAAGAU